CUGCCCCUGCCCGCCACCCCACACUGCCCUGCCAGCACCCCAGCACCCCAGCACCCCAGCGCAGGGGCACAGCUGGACCAUACCGGAUGACGUUGUUGCAGUGGCCACAGAGUGGGGUCCGGCUGCUGGCUGGGAAGCGUUCGGCCCUCUGGACGCCAUUCUCUUCCCUCCUCUGGAAGGCCUUCCAGACUCCAUGAUCCACCUCUCUCUUCUAAACUCCUACAACACGACGUUUUCCAGCAGCCCGGCUGGCCGCGCCACCUUCGACGUGCCAGGAUUGAGACUUGACAUCCCCUCUCGGAGCCCGCGGCUGUUGCUAUUUCUGCCUGACGGAAUGAAGCCCGUCCAAAUUAGAAGGUCGGGCCCGGCUCCC